rnacentral:rRNA from 1 species
GAGGAAUGUAUAGCAAUAGCUACUUGCAUCUUCGUAUACAUGAUGCAAGAUCGACUCUGUCGAAUAAAAUUCUAGGUAGAAUUAUGAUAAUGACAUUGUCUGCCUAUGUGUCUUGACCAAAUUACGUGCCAGCAGUCGCGGUAAUACGUAGAAGACUAGUGUUAUUCAUGUUUAAUCGGUUUAAAGGGUACCUAGACGGUAAAUCAAGCCUACAAAUAAAAGAAAUGAAGGGACUAAUUUGCUAGAGUUACUUAUGAGGGGGUAUUAAAGUACUGCUGGUGUAGAGAUGAAAUUCUGUCAUACCUCUUUUCAAUAGAAAAAUAAUGGCACAGGUAUAGGCGAAAGCAUCCCCUUAUGUGAUAACUGACGUUGAGGGACGAAGGCUUUGUGUAGCGAACAGGAUUAGAUACCCCAGUAGUCAAAGCAGAAAAUGAUGAAUGUCAUAGAUUAGAUAUAUAAGUUUAUUCUAUAAAUGAAAGUGUAAGCAUUCCACCUCAAGAGUAAUUUGGCAACAUUGGAACUGAAAUCAUUAGACCGUUUCUGAAACCAGUAGUGAAGUAUGUUGUUUAAUUUGAUGAUCCGCAAAAAACCUUACCACAAUUUGAAUAUUUAUAUCUUUUAUUGUUUUUUUUUAUUUUUCUUCUUAUGACUUUUAUCCAUGAUUUUCUACUCAGUGAAGAAAAGGGAAGAAUACAAGAAAUAAGAAGAAAAAUAAAAAAAAAAUAAUAAGAUAUAUUUACAAGCGUUGCACGGCUGUCUUCAGUUAAUGUCGCAAGACUUUGGUUAGUUCCAUUAAAUUAACGUAAACCCUUACUUUAUUUUUAUAUAGAGUAGUUCUCCGCUAUAUUGGAUAUGAU